rnacentral:rRNA from 1 species
AGAGUUUGAUCCUGGCUCAGGAUGAACGCUAGCGGCAGGCCCAAUACAUGCAAGUCGAGGGGUAACAGGUGUAGCAAUACAUGCUGACGACCGGCGCACGGGUGCGUAACACGUAUAUAAUCUACCUUUUACUGGAGAAUAGCCCGAAGAAAUUCGGAUUAAUACUCCAUAAUAAUAUUGAGGGGCAUCUCUUGAUAUUUAAAGUUCAGACGGUAAAAGAUGAGUAUGCGCGAUAUUAGCUAGUUGGUGAGGUAACGGCUCACCAAGGCGACGAUAUCUAGGGGUACUGAGAGGUUACACCCCCACACUGGUACUGAGACACGGACCAGACUCCUACGGGAGGCAGCAGUAAGGAAUAUUGGACAAUGGUCGCAAGACUGAUCCAGCCAUGCCGCGUGCAGGAUGACUGCCCUAUGGGUUAUAAACUGCUUUUAUACGGGAAUAAACCCGGGUACGUGUACCCGGCUGAAUGUACUGUAAGAAUAAGGGUCGGCUAACUUCGUGCCAGCAGCCGCGGUAAGACGAAGGACCCAAGCGUUAUCCGGAUUCAUUGGGUUUAAAGGGUGCGUAGGCGGGUUGAUAAGUCAGUGGUGAAAGCCCAACGCUUAACGUUGGAACUGCCAUUGAUACUGUCGAUCUUGAAUGUGUUUGAUGUGGGCGGAAUAUGACAUGUAGCGGUGAAAUGCUUAGAUAUGUCAUAGAACACCGAUUGCGAAGGCAGCUCACAAAGCCACUAUUGACGCUGAGGCACGAAAGCGUGGGGAUCAAACAGGAUUAGAUGCCCUGGUAGUCCACGCCGUAAACUUUGAUCACUCGCUGUUGGCGAUACACUGUCAGCGGCUAAGCGAAAGCGUUAAGUGAUCCACCUGGGGAGUACGGUCGCAAGACCGAAACUCAAAGGAAUUGACGGGGGCCCGCACAAGCGGUGGAGCAUGUGGUUUAAUUCGAUGAUACGCGAGGAACCUUACCAGGGCUUGAAAGUUAGCGACUUACCGUGAAAGCGGUGAUCCCUUCGGGGCGCGAAACUAGGUGCUGCAUGGCUGUCGUCAGCUCGUGCCGUGAGGUGUUGGGUUAAGUCCCGCAACGAGCGCAACCCCUACUUCUAGUUGCCAACAGGUAAUGCUGGGGACUCUAGAGGAACUGCCCGCGCAAGCGGUGAGGAAGGUGGGGACGACGUCAAGUCAUCACGGCCCUUACGUCCUGGGCUACACACGUGCUACAAUGGCGGAGACAACGGGCAGAUACACUGCGAAGUGAUGCUAAUCUCUAAACUCCGUCUCAGUUCGGAUUGAAGUCUGCAACUCGACUUCAUGAAGCUGGAAUCGCUAGUAAUCGCGUAUCAGCAAUGACGCGGUGAAUACGUUCCCGGGCCUUGUACACACCGCCCGUCAAACAAUGGAAGCUGGGAGUACCUAAAGUCAGUAGUCGCAAGACGCUGCCUAGGGUAAAACCGGUAACUGGUGUUAAGUCGUAACAAGGUA